GCUUGUCUCAAAGAUUAAGCCAUGCAUGUCCAAGUACACGCCUUCACACGGCGAGACUGCGAAUGGCUCAUUAAAUCAGUUAUGGUUCCUUAGAUCGUACAAUCCUACUUGGAUAACUGAGGUAAUUCUUGAGCUAAUACAUGCGAAAAAUCUCGACUCACGGAGAGAUGCUUUUAUUAGAUCAAAACCAAACGGCUUCGGCCGUCUCAUUGGUGACUCUGAAUAACUUUGGGCUGAUCGUAUGGCCUUGUGCCGACGACGUUUCCUUCGAAGGUGUGCCCUAUCAACUGUCGACUGUGAUAUAGACGCUCACAGUGGUUUUGACGGGUAACGGGGAAUCAGGGUUCGAUUCCGGAGAGGGAGCCUUAAAAACGGCUACCACAUCCAAGGAAGGCAGCAGG
rnacentral:rRNA from 1 species